UCCUGUGUGGAUCACCAUUGGAGAGCUUCUACUUUGGAGUCUUGUAGAGGUCUCAAAGUUACCAGAUCAUGGUUUUCUUAUUGGUAUAUAACUUCUGAUUUCUUUCUGAUAUAUAUAUUUUUUGAUCGUUUGAUUGUAAUCAUCAUGGGGUUUCUAUGACUUUUGUGUUCCGGAGACUAGUUUAAAUAUUAAACUUUGUUUUCAAUUGUUGAAUCCAUGUUAAAAUUUUUAAAAUUUAUAUUUCACUGUAUCACUAAAACCCAACAGAGUCCUAGUCCAGUAGGACUCUCUUCCAAAGUUCCAGUCCCAAUAGGACUCCUCACUAGAGUCACAAUCCAAUUGGACUCUUCAACCAUUAGAUCUAACCAAAUCUUCUAAUGCAUGUGACCCCAUAGG
rnacentral:lncRNA from 1 species